GUCAGGUUGGGUGGCCAUGGAGCUGUCCCUCCCUGCAGCUUGGCCUCAGCAGCCUAAAACAGUAACAACAGCAACAUCCUGUCCGUUUUUAUAAAGCCUGGGUCCUGCCCUGCCGUACAGUGAGUUUCGAUUCCCAGCUCGUUCCUGAGCCUGUUUGAUAUGAGAUUCCCGGCCAGGAAGAAUUUAUGUACAAGCAGUGGGCAUCUGUUGUCCAUGUGGGGGUUGGGGGGGGGCAGGGAAAGCAAGCCAUCAGCUCUUCGUUUUCUUUGUGGGAACCGUGUGGGACAAGAAAGCCCACAAGUCCUAAUUUUAGGAGGAGAGGGGAGACUUUAUUGCUCCGGAGUUAUGCCUCCUGGCAUAUGGCUGCGUUAACUCUGGACGCUUUCUCCAGCCUCUAAAGAAUGGUGUUUAUUUAGCUUCUGUGGUUCCAGGUUGCUGUUUUAAAAAAUCCUGUUAAUUAAGCACCUUGUCAUUUAAAAUGCCGAA
rnacentral:lncRNA from 1 species